GCAGAGAACAUAGUGGUGAAGAGUCAAUCUGAACAACCAGUGCAGAAUGUUGACCUGAGAGAUUUAAGGCUGUUCUUUCAUCUGAGCUGCCAGGCUGAAGCAACAGCUGAGAAGAGAAGUCUCCUAGGAGGAAAAACACUACCAAAUAGCUUGGCUAAUUCUGCCACUUCAAAAGCUUUAAAAACUUCCUUACCUGAGGGAGCACUGGAUUUUAUAAGUAAUCUAGUUUUAGGAAGUGUGGCUCUGUGAGAAAGGGCCUCAUUAUGCCAUGUGCUGAGUAGGAGGCAAAGCUCCUGUCUAGC
rnacentral:lncRNA from 1 species